rnacentral:misc_RNA from 1 species
GAUGAAGAACGCAGCAAAAUGCGAUAAGUAAUGUGAAUUGCAGAAUUCAGUGAAUCAUCGAAUCUUUGAACGCACAUUGCGCCCGCCAGUAUUCUGGCGGGCAUGCCUGUUCGAGCGUCAUUUCAACCCUCAAGCACAGCUUGGUGUUGGGACUCGCGUUAAUUCGCGUUCCCCAAAUUGAUUGGCGGUCACGUCGAGCUUCCAUAGCGUAGUAGUAAAACCCUCGUUACUGGUAAUCGUCGCGGCCACGCCGUUAAACCCCAACUUCUGAAUGUUGACCUCGGAUCAGGUAGGAAUACCCGCUGAACUUAAGCAUAUCAAUAAGCGGAGA